rnacentral:sRNA from 1 species
CAAGUGAUGCCGGACACGGGUCAGUUGC